rnacentral:rRNA from 1 species
AUGGCAGGCGGCAGAGUUGCACAUGCGACCCUCAAGGGGCCGAGCGUGGUGAAGGAGAUCUUCAUUGGACUCACCCUUGGGCUGGUUGCUGGUGGUAUGUGGAAGAUGCAUCACUGGAACGAGCAGAGGAAGACCCGAUCCUUCUAUGACAUGCUCGAGAAGGGGCAGAUCAGCGUCGUUGUCGAGGAGUAG